UUUUUGGAGAGUUUGAUCCUGGCUCAGGACGAACGCUGGCGGCGUGCCUAAUACAUGCAAGUCGAGCGGACUUGACGGAGCUUGCUCUGUUCAAGUUAGCGGCGGACGGGGGAGUAACACGUGGGCCACCUGCCCUGCAGCUUGGGAUACCUCCGGGAACCCGGGGCUAUUCCCGCAUAAUAGGGAAGAUCACAUGAUCGUCGUUUGAAAGCAGGU
rnacentral:ncRNA from 1 species